AACAGGCAUUUUCAAAUUAUGUCAAAAACUCAAAAACGACAAAAAUGGAGAUAAGAAGUUUUGUUCAGACAGCAGCGAUGUGCUGGUUUUGCUGGUGGUAAACCAUGCUGGACUUUCUAGCGGGGAUGCUAGGCUGCAGAUCUAUAAAAAAGAUAGAGAUUUAGUCGCAAAGCUGUUGUAAAACACUCAAUAUAAGCAUUCCUAUAAUCUGAAUUCUGUAUUAAUGCGCUAACUCACUAAAACCCUGCUAGAAAAUCCAGCACUGGCCAGCACAGCUGAUCACCAACGUGUUUUGGGUGCUGGUGUGCUGGGUGACCAGCUAAACCAGCACCAGGGCAGCUUGACCAGCUAAGACCAUAUAAAUAUGUAUUUAAUUUGUCCAUUUUAUCAGCUCCACUUACCACUCCAGCAGCACUGCUGUGUCUGAUCCACUCGUAUCAGCACAACACACACUAACACACCACUACCACGUCAGUGUUACUGCUUAAGGCUGUAUAUGACAAAAAGAGAAAAAAGUGCGUGAGUAUGCCAGGAUUCAGACUUUCAAAUAGCGAAAAUAGUGAAAAUGCUCAUCGAUGGUAAUAAAACUUGCUGCUUGCACAGGUCUCUGUAUGUGUCAUCUUGAGUGUGUUGUUUCCUCACUUUGCUCUCUUUCGUUUCUCUCUACUGUCUGACCAGCGUGCUCAAUCAGCCAAAACUGGGCUGACAAGAAAAGACAAGAGUCAACGGUGCAGGACACGCCGCACACACCGUGGCUGAAACCACUAAAACUUCAGACACCAAACACGUUCUGAUUGCCUCAGGACGUUUGGAGUAAGUUUAGGGGGGCCAAUCUAUCUUUAUGCAGGAGAGCAAUCAGAGAUGCAAACAGAGCAUGUGAGGAUCAGGAGAUGCUGAUAAAAUCACAGACAGAAUAAACAUCCAAGAAAACCUGGAGCUCAGUGAGAAAAAAAACAAACUCUCUUGUGUUUCAUGACAAAUGGGACGAUAGAUUAAAAAAAUAUAUAUGGUUACCUUAACAGAUAUUAAGAACACUGUUCCUCUUAUAUAAUGUCAAAAGAGGGAUAAGUUUGAAGGACUGAUGUGGAAGAGUUAGUUUGGAGGAUGGAUGUGGAAGGGUCAGUUUGGAGGAUGGAUGUGGAAGGGUUAGUUUGGAGGAUUGAUGUGGAAGGGUUAGUCUGGAUGAAGGGUCAGUUUGGAGGAUGGAUAUGGAAGGGUUAGUUUGGGGGAUUGAUGUGGAAGGUUAGUCUGGAUGAAGGGUCAGUUUGGAGGAUGGAUGUGGAAGGGUCAGUUUGGAGGAUUGAUGUGGAAGGGUCAGUUUGGAGGAUUGAUGUGGAAGGUUAGUCUGGAUGAAGGGUUAGUUUGGAGGAUUGAUGUGGAAGGGUCAGUUUGGAGGAUUGAUGUGGAAGGGUCAGUUUGGAGGAUUGAUGUGGAAGGGUCAGUUUGGAGGAUGGAUAUGGAAGGGUUAGUUUGGGGGAUUGAUGUGGAAGAGUUAGUCUGGAGGAUUGAUGUGGAAGGUUAGUCUGGAUGAAGGGUUAGUUUGGAGGAUUGAUGUGGAAGGUUAGUCUGGAUGAAGGGUUAGUUUAGAGGACUGAUGAUGAAGGGUCAGUUUGGAGGAUUGAUGUGGAAGGGUCAGUUUGGAGGAUUGAUGUGGAAGGGUUAGUUUGGAGGAUGGAUGUGGAAGGUUAGUCUGGAUGAAGGGUUAGUUUAGAGGACUGAUGAUGAAGGGUUAGUUCAGAGGAUUGAUGUGGAAGCACAGGAGCAGCAGAAAUGAGGGAUGGACAGAGAAGUGAAAUAAAAGGAAUGCUAAAGAACAGUUACUCACCACUGUGAUCCAGAUGGCCUUCUGAAGGAAAUGUGAAGGAAAUUAAACCAGGUAAAUUCAAAAGGCCA